rnacentral:rRNA from 1 species
CCUACGGGAGGCAGCAGUGAGGAAUAUUGGUCAAUGGCCGGAAGACUGAACCAGCCAAGUCGCGUGAGGGAAGAAGGAACUAUGUUUCGUAAACUUCUUUUAUAGGGGAAUAAAGGUAUCCACGUGUGGAUAUAUGCAUGUACCCUAUGAAUAAGCAUCGGCUAACUCCGUGCCAGCAGCCGCGGUAAUACGGAGGAUGCGAGCGUUAUCCGGAUUUAUUGGGUUUAAAGGGUGCGGAGGUUGUGUUUUAAGUCAGCGGUGAAAGUUUGGGGGUAAACCAUAAAAUUGCCGUUGAAACUGGAAGCCUUGAGUGUGUGUGAGGUAGGCGGAAUGCGUGGUGUAGCGGUGAAAUGCAUAGAUAUCACGCAGAACUCCGAUUGCGAAGGCAGCUUACUAGGCCAUAACUGACACUGAGGCACGAAAGCGUGGGGAUCAAACAGGAUUAGAUACCCCAGUAGUC